UGGGGAAUAUUGGACAAUGGGCGCAAGCCUGAUCCAGCCAUGCCGCGUGAGUGAUGAAGGCCUUAGGGUUGUAAAGCUCUUUCACCGGGGACGAUGAUGACGGUACCCGGAGAAGAAGCCCCGGCUAACUUCGUGCCAGCAGCCGCGGUAAUACGAAGGGGGCAAGCGUUGUUCGGAAUUACUGGGCGUAAAGGGCGCGUAGGCGGUCCGUUGCGUCAGGUGUGAAAUCCCCGGGCUCAACCUGGGAACUGCACUUGAUACGGGCGGGCUGGAAUCCGUGAGAGGUUGGUGGAAUUCCCAGUGUAGAGGUGAAAUUCGUAGAUAUUGGGAAGAACACCGGUGGCGAAGGCGGCCAACUGGCACGGUAUUGACGCUGAGGCGCGAAAGCGUGGGGAGCAAACAGGAUUAGAUACCCUGGUAGUCCACGCCGUAAACGAUGUGCGCUAGCCGUCGGGCAGCAUGCUGUCGGUGGCGCAGCUAACGCAUUAAGCGCACCGCC
rnacentral:rRNA from 1 species